rnacentral:rRNA from 1 species
CAGUGACGGUUAACGGGGGAUUAGGGUUCGAUUCCGGAGAGGGAGCCUGUAGAAACGGCUACCACAUCUAAGGAAGGCAGCAGGCGCGCAAAUUACCCAAUUCUAACAGCAUAAGAGAGGUAGUGACAAGAAAUAACAAUACAAGGUAAUUAAAUUGCUUUGUAAUUGGAAUGAUAGAAAUUUAAACACUUUUUAAAGUAUCAAUUGGAGGGCAAGUCUGGUGCCAGCAGCCGCGGUAAUUCCAGCUCCAAUAGCGUAUAUUAAAAUUGUUGCAGUUAAAAAGCUCGUAGUUGAAUUUCUGUUAAAAAUAACCGGUCUGCUUUUAUUAAAAGUGGUAUCUUGGUGUGUUUUUAGCAAUAAUGUCCUUUGAAAUGUUUUUUACUUUAUUGUAAUAAGUCAUUAUUUUGAGGAUUUUUACUUUGAGAAAAUUAGAGUGUUUCUAGCAGGCUUACGCUUUUGAAUACUGCAGCAUGGAAUAAUAAGAUAGGAUUUUAGUUCUACAUUAUUGGUUUUAAGAACUAAAUUAAUGAUUGAUAGGGAUAGUUGGGGG